rnacentral:rRNA from 1 species
AUUGAACGCUGGCGGCAGGCCUAACACAUGCAAGUCGAACGAGUGGCGGACGGGUGAGUAAUGUCUGGGAAACUGCCUGAUGGAGGGGGAUAACUACUGGAAACGGGAGCUAAUACAGCAUACCAUCAGAUGUGCCCAGAUGGGAUUAGCUAGUAGGUGGGGUAACGGCUCACCUAGGCGACGAUCCCUAGCGGGGCUGAGAGGAUGACCAGCCACACUGGAACUGAGACACGGUCCAGACUCCGACGGUAGGCAGCAGUGGGGAAUAUUGCACAAUGGGCGCAAGCCUGAUGCAGCCAUGCCGCGUGUAUGAAGAAGGCCUUCGGGUUGUAAAGUACUUUCAGCGGGGAGGCGUUACCCGCAGAAGAAGCACCGGCUAACUCCGUGCCAGCCGCCGCGGUAAUUC